rnacentral:rRNA from 1 species
ACGCACGCUGGCGGCGUGCUUAACACAUGCCAGUCGAACGGAAAGGCCCUGCUUGCAGGGUACUCGAGUGGCGAACGGGUGAGUAACACGUGGGUGAUCUGCCCUGCACUUCGGGAUAAGCCUGGGAAACUGGGUCUAAUACCGGAUAGGAGCCAUUUUUAGUGUGAUGGUUGGAAAGUUUUUUCGGUGUAGGAUGGGCUCGCGGCCUAUCAGCUUGUUGGUGGGGUAAUGGCCUACCAAGGCGGCGACGGGUAGCCGGCCUGAGAGGGUGGACGGCCACAUUGGGACUGAGAUACGGCCCAGACUCCUACGGGAGGCAGCAGUGGGGAAUAUUGCACAAUGGGCGCAAGCCUGAUGCAGCGACGCCGCGUGGGGGAUGACGGCCUUCGGGUUGUAAACUCCUUUCGCUAGGGACGAAGCUUUUUGUGACGGUACCUAGAUAAGAAGCACCGGCUAACUACGUG